UCAUAGUUAGUUGCGUUUGAAUUCAACUGACCCAAGUAUUCGGCGAAUGGCUGGGUUUCUUUCUCAGCUGAAUCACGAAGCCAUUUGUACAGACAACAUUUUCUGCGAACAUUUGCUAAUUUGACUGAAUAAUCUGUCUUAAUUCUUUUCUAAUUUUGUUAUUAAUAGGGCAUUGCGUAGUUAUCCGUUGUACAUAGAAAAACUCGUCGGUAGAAGAAAUUUCGUUGAUGCCAGACCACAUUCUUUUUGGCUUGUGCUAGAGAUAUUAGAGACACGAUUGAAAUUGACAGAUCGGCAUGGGCCAUGAAGCACCGACCGAUCGAUUACAGCGCCCCUAGCGGCGUCUGUCGAUGGAAUAGCCAAAUAUGCAUUUUGAGCUUCGACAGGCUGUCGGUGCAAUAGAAUUUACGGGAUGUUUCAGUUGUCCUAGAGGUUAGAUACAAGUUUUUAUGUUUUUCCGUGUAAUUGGACUCACGAACUGUUUGUUGUCGUUGUUCGGCCAUCCCAUUAUGCGUCCUAAACGUGGUAAUCCAGUGAGUGAUGUUGCUGACGUCGUGAAACUAACUUUAAAUUCAUUGAGGCCUGCCCUGUAACGAUGCAUCACCUAAUUAUCCAUCAUCCUUAUACUUUAUCUACAUUCACUGAUGUUGUUCUUCUAGACAAUGUGUAUAUAGGACAAGUCACUUGAAAGGUACGUGUGUAUUGCUCUUUUCAAAAUCAUUUCCGUUUCUAUUCAAGCUUUGUUAUCCCUGUUAAACAAAACUUUUGUGAUAACUUAAGAAAGGAUAAAAUAUCCAGAGAACAUUGAAGCUCCAAAUGUUAUAUUUUAUUCUAAAAUGAAUCGGAUAGCUUUUUUGUGUCUUCAGUGUUUUUGUGGUGGGGAGAUAAGCGUUUCUCAUUAGUAAUUAGAGUUUCACGUUGGGGUGAUUAGCUACGAAUGAUAAUUUAUUU